UUUGAGGAUUUGAUCCUGGUCCAGGACGAACGCUAGCGACGUGCUUUAAGCAUGCAAGUAGAGCGAGCCCGCAAGGGCAAGCUGCGAACGGCUGAGUAACACGUAGGAACCUACACUUUGGUGGGGUACAGCUCGCCGAAAGGCGGGGUAAUACCGCAUGACCUCGCGAGAAAAGGAUGUAACUGUCCGCCGAAGAAGGGGCCUGCGGCCUAUCAGCUUGUUGGUGGGGUAACGGCCUACCAAGGCUACGACGGGUAGGGGGCGUGAGAGCGUGUUCCCCCAGAAUGGGACUGAGACACGGCCCAUACACCUACGGGUGGCAGCAACUGGGAAUCGUGCGCAAUGGACGAAAGUCUGACGCCGCGACGUCGCGUGUGGGAUGACGGCCUUCGGGUUGUAAACCACUUUUGCCAAAGAGUGAUUACUUUGGAGAAUAAGCACCGGCUAACUACGUGCCAGCAGCAGCGGUAAUACGUAGGGUGCAAGCGUUGUCCGAAUUUAUUGGGCGUAAAGAGUUCGUAGGCGUUUCCUUACAUCUUGUUUCAAAUACCGGAGCUCAACUUCGGGAAGGGGCAAGAGAUGGAGGAAAUUGGAGAGUGCAGGGGCUACUGGAACUUGCGGUGUAGGAGUGAAAUCCGUUGAUAUCGUAAGGAACACCGAGGGCGAAGGCAAGUAGCUGGGCACACCUUGACGCUGAGGAACGAAAGCUAGGGUAGCGAAAGGGAUUAGAGACCCCUGUAGUCCUAGCCGUAAACGAUGCUCGCUAGGGAUUUGCGUCCCGUAAGCUAACGCGUUAAGCGAGCCGCCUGGGGAGUACGAGCGCAAGCUUAAAACUCAAAGGAAUUGACGGGGACCCGCACAACCAGUGGAGCAUCGCAACCCCUGCCGUAUGUUAAAUUAUUCAUACGGGACUGGCCAGCUUAGCUGGCAGGAAGUGGGGACGAUGUUAAGUCCGCAUGGCCCUUAUGUCUAGGGCAACACACAUGCUACAAUGGAGCCGACAAUGGGUUGCCAAGUGGUAACACGGAGCUAAUCCCAUCAAACGGCUUCUCAGUUGGGAUUGAGGGCUGCAACUCGCCCUCAUGAACGCGGAAUUGGUAGUAAUCGGAAAUCAGCUAAGUUCCGGUGAAUACGUUCUCGGGUCUUGUACACACCGCAAUCCGUCAAGUUAGUGAAGUUGGGGGCACCCGAAUCCCGGAUGUUCCGGGGCAAGGUGAAACCAGCGACAAGAAUUAAGUCGUAACAAGGUAUCCGUUCUGGAAGGAGCGGAUGGAUCACCUCCUU
rnacentral:rRNA from 1 species